rnacentral:rRNA from 1 species
AUGAACGCUGGCGGCGUGCUUAACACAUGCAAGUCGAACGGUGAACACGGAGCUUGCUCUGUGGGAUCAGUGGCGAACGGGUGAGUAACACGUGGGUGAUCUGCCCUGCACUCUGGGAUAAGCCUGGGAAACUGGGUCUAAUACUGGAUAUGACUACAGCAUGCAUGUGUUGUGGUGGAAAGAUUUAUCGGUGCAGGAUGGGCCCGCGGCCUAUCAGCUUGUUGGUGGGGUAAUGGCCUACCAAGGCGACGACGGGUAGCCGACCUGAGAGGGUGACCGGCCACACUGGGACUGAGACACGGCCCAGACUCCUACGGGAGGCAGCAGUGGGGAAUAUUGCACAAUGGGCGGAAGCCUGAUGCAGCGACGCCGCGUGAGGGAUGAAGGCCUUCGGGUUGUAAACCUCUUUCAGCAGGGACGAAGCGUGAGUGACGGUACCUGCAGAAGAAGCACCGGCUAACUACGU